UUUUCUGGUUCCUACAUUUACUAUCCGAACCGAACCCGAAACUAUCCAAACCGAACCGAAACAAAAACAUGUCAAGUACUAAAUGGAUCCUCUAGCCCCUUAUCCGAAAUUCCCGAACCGAACCGAACCGAUAUCCGAAAUUCCCGGGCCUGUUCCACCCAAAGAUUGAUCAAGUUUUCGUUUCCCCCUAUUUACUUUCAGAGGAAACUUUUCACUCAACAUAACAAUAUUAUUAUAAAAUCACACAACCAUUACCCUUACAGAUGCAAACAUAGCUUAAGACAAACAUCUAAUAGUUUCUAACACUUUUUUAAAGAUUGCUCUUUACUCUUAGCAAUGUCAUCAUGCUACCAGGAGUGAACCCUAUCACCCCUUUGAUAUCUUAGAACACAAGUUUGCUUUGAUGUCAAUGAAGGCCCCUCCUCAAAGAUAAAAGACUAAUAAAACACGUAACACAAGUUUCUUUUGACAAAUUCAAUC
rnacentral:lncRNA from 1 species